UACGUAGGGUGCGAGCGUUGUCCGGAAUUAUUGGGCGUAAAGAGCUCGUAGGCGGUGUGUCGCGUCGGUCGUGAAAACUUGGGGCUUAACCCUGAGCUUGCGGUCGAUACGGGCAUCACUGGAGUUCGGCAGGGGAGACUGGAAUUCCUGGUGUAGCGGUGAAAUGCGCAGAUAUCAGGAGGAACACCGGUGGCGAGGGCGGCUGCCUGGCCCAAUACUGACACUCAGGUGCGACAGCGUGGGGAGCAAACAGG
rnacentral:rRNA from 1 species